rnacentral:rRNA from 1 species
GAUGAACGCUGGCGGCGUGCCUAAUACAUGCAAGUCGAGCGAACAGACGAGGAGCUUGCUCCUCUGACGUUAGCGGCGGACGGGUGAGUAACACGUGGAUAACCUACCUAUAAGACUGGGAUAACUUCGGGAAACCGGAGCUAAUACCGGAUAACAUGUUGAACCGCAUGGUUUAACAGUGAAAGACGGUCUUGCUGUCAUUUAUAGAUGGAUCCGCGCCGCAUUAGCUAGUUGGUAAGGUAACGGCUUACCAAGGCAACGAUGCGUAGCCGACCUGAGAGGGUGAUCGGCCACACAGGAACUGAGACACGGUCCAGACUCCUACGGGAGGCAGCAGUAGGGAAUCUUCCGCAAUGGGCGAAAGCCUGACGGAGCAACGCCGCGUGAGUGAAGAAGGUCUUCGGAUCGUAAAACUCUGUUAUUAGGGAAGAACAAAUGUGUAAGUAACUAUGCACGUCUUGACGGUACCUAAUCAGAAAGCCACGGCUAACUACGUG